UACGUACUUAUCCUCACUAGUGACGGAAGCAACCAAACGAGAAAUAAGAAAUAUUUUUUAUACUACUAUUUUUGUGGUUGAGUCAAACGACAUCGUAUUUUAUACUUUUCUAACGUUUUGUUUGUUUUGUUUAUUUUGUCUUUGUGGUUUAGUGAAACUCAGAGAUAAUGUUUUAAAAACGACUAUUAUUAUUUCUAAAGCAACCUAAUCAACUAUUAUUUGUAACCCUCUUAUUUGGUCUCAUUUUUCUGUCAAACGAUUCAAACUAGAUUUCUUUGUAUUUUCUUCCUAUAAUUUCAAAAUUUUUACUGGUUACCUUGCUCUCACUUAGUUGUAUUAUACACUUUUUUUUUAUUCUUUCUAUUAAAUUUAACGUGUCUUGCAAUUUUGUGAAGAUUAUUUCAAUUGCCCAUGUUAUGAGUUCGAAUUUUUUUCUCAAAACAUAUAUGAAAUUAAGGCCUUCUCUCACAAAGAAUUAUGGCUCUGCCACUGAACCCUUUCACGGUAAGAAAAAUGUUUUGUGGACUUUAUUAAAUUAGAAAACACUUUUUAAUGAUCGAAUUUGCUUAUGAUUAUUCUGAUAGUUUUUUUUUUUGAAAAAGUCUAAAUUUUCAGUUGUGUUGUAAAAUCGACUGUGGGUGCAGUGGAAUAAAUGAAACAAGACACAAAAUUUACGAGGUUCCUCUACAGUCAGUGUGACUGGAGCACGUCCUCGGGGCAGCAGUGGUGCUUUCAUUAUAAUUUGAAAUAAUAGGAGUACAAAGAUAACUCUCUCUAUUAUCUCCUCUCAUCUUCCUCUAUUCUCUCUCUUCCUCUUCCUUCCUUCCUCUCUUUCUUUCCCGUGAACUCCCCUCACUUCAAUCCUCUUCUUCCUUUAUAUAAACAAAAGAAAGCACUAUUCACUUUACAAAUUUUCCACAAAUGAAUAGUGAAAAUACUGUGCAUAAAUAGUAACAAACUAUUCAUGUGGACCAUCCACACACUAUUUACAACACUCCCCCUUGGAUGGCCACAAGUCUUCGAUUGACUCGUUAAAACCUUGAUCUGUCUUGGAUGCUCCCCCUGAUGAGUAUCUCCCCCUGAUUUCAAAUCAUUUAGGUUGAUCGUUGAUCGUUCUGAUUUAGUCUCUUAGUAAGAAGAGUUGCUGAAAGAGUUGCUUUACUUAUUGUUAACUUUCCACAGGCUUUUUCUUGAAUUGGGUUGUAGGACUUUCUGCUAGACUAGCAUCCAAAUGUCUGAAUUUACUCCUUUUAUCUGGAGCGAAAUUUGAUUCAAGAGUAGUGAACACUUGAUAUUGAAUCGGACUUGUGAUUUCUUCAAGGACCUUCGAGGCUUGAUCUUGAAUGAAAUUGGACCAUGAGGAGCUUCAUGUGGCAAGUGAUCUUCAGUUUUGUCAGGGAUGAAUCAGCACGCGUUUGUUGCGCUUGUCUCCACAUGCUUCAAUGUAUCAUUUUCACUUUCCUUACUUGCUCCCCUUGCUUAAGUAGUAUUUUCCCUGCUUUUCCCCCAUGCAUGUGGCAUCUUCUCCGGCAGUAUUUGCCCUCUGAUGCCGGAGUGGAGUGCAACCCUUGCAUUUGGAUGGUUCAUCACUUCUUGGUGACUGGAGACCUAGCUCCAACCGUUGAAGAUGACUACUCGAGAGCAACACUAGGUAAGCAAUCAGGAAAGGUUCCAGGCAGUCGGUUCCUUACCGGGAGUUUGAGUGGAGGUUCCGACAUAUUGCUUUCUUUAUCCUUGUUUUCGCAGGCAAGAACAAGGACAAAGGAAAUGACAGGGAGAUUGCAUGAUAUGAGAUAAUCUUGCUCUGGUCCCUGAAGAUAUGUGAUAAUCUUGCUCUGGUGUGACAUGUUUGAAGAGGUAUUCUCGGAGAGGAAGAAAACUGAGUAUUUCGAGAUGCUAUGUUGAAGAUGCAUUCUCGGAGAUGAGGAAGAGUUAGGUAUUCUUGCAGUGUUGCGGGUCUGCCUUGUUAUGGAGAACAGAGGUCGACAUAUAUAGAGAUUUCUCAAUAGCAAGUGGUGGUGCUGUGCUUUUACUCUUGUCAGCAACUGUGGUGUAAAUAGAACAGUAAGAUUUACGCGUUUUCAACUUUGUCAGAGAUCUUUGACAAAAUUGCACGCGACAUCUGAAAAAGCUGGGAUUACGUCUGAAAAAUGCCAACGAACUUUAUGCAGGAAAAUCUGGCUUUUGAAAUUCGGAGAGCGGUGCCUCUUCGAUCUUUGAACGAGUGGCUCUGCUGCCUCUUUCUUUAUAGAGACAUCAAUUGUGUUCAAGAGUAUGCUCAGAAAGUUGCUGCCUGUAGAAAUUUCCUCUAUCUUGCACUUCUGAAAUUUUAUUUGACCUCUGUUUUUCCUUCAUCAUUUCUGAAAAAUGAUUUGCCCAUCUAACAUUUUCUUAGAUUUGAGUCUUAGGAGUGAUACAGACGAGCAGCGUCAGGAUAAUAUAUGGCGCCCGUCCUUCUUAUCUUCUAAUGGUCCUCUUACGGUUGGGGACUCUGUGAUGAAGAAUAACAUAACCGCUACUGUGGUAGCUAGGAAUCUUCUCACUCCAAGGGAUAACAAGAUCCUUUUAGAACGGUCUGAAGAGUCGGCCGUUCAAGACUCCUUGGCUCUCAGUGUUCAAUGUGCUGGCUCUGUGUCCAAUAUGGGCCAACGCCUACUUGCUCAAACUCGCCAAGUUGAAUCAUUGAUGGCAGAGGUGGCAAGUCUUAAACAAGAGAUCAGAGGGCUCAAGCACGAGAAUAGGGUGUUACACGUGCUUGCAAAUAGUUACUCUACGAGCAUGAAAAGAAAGCUCGUCCAACUGCAGGAAUCCGAAAGUCGGAUUCAAAGUGAUCACCAGAGGUUCGUUGCUAGAUUCCGAAAGCAACUGAUGCCUUUCCCUUCUGGUGUUUUGCUAAGUACUGGGGUGCCACAUGAUCAAUCUCUAGUGCCUCCCCCUUCUGGGGUACUUCCGAGUACUGAGGCUUCACAUGAGCAACCUUUGUGAAGGCUCCAUCCUGUUUGUUUGUUUUAACUCAUGUGUAUGUAUAUAUCUGUAAUUUCUUGGAGAUAUUAAUAAAUAAGCUUUAUUUCAUUCAAUGUAUUGUGCCAAAUACAAUAAAACAUAUACUUCACUAAGAUGUGGUACUUCUGGACCAAAUAUUAAUUUAUCUUUGCCCUCAUGAAGAUAAAUGAUUAUUCUUAGUGUCUUCAUCAUAUGAGUAUUCAACUCAUAAUCUUCAAUCCAUAUGGUUCUUUUAAUAUCAUAAAUAUCAUGGAUAAGAUUCGUGUUGGUAGAUUGUUCGAUCUGUAGCUCGAGACAAUAAUUCCUUCAACACUUUAUAAUUUGUUCUAGACUUUUCAGGAGUCCCAAUUUAAUAUCAUCAACUCUUCAAGAGUUCUAAUUUAAUGUCAUUGACUCUUGCAAGAGAUUUUAGUAUGUUGCAACAAUAUUAUAAUGAUAGUACUCACUAAGGCAAUUUAUAUCAUUCAUUGGUAUUGAGUACAUAUUUUAUGUUUUACCCUUCAGGGGCUUACUUCAAGCAAUUUGAAUCCUUCAAGGGUUUUCUACACUUCAUGACACAUUUUCCUUUGGAAUUUAUACAGAGCAAUUUGCUCCCAUGUAUACUUGAGGGAUUUACUUAUGGAGAUAUAAUGUGGGCGACUCACAACCCUUCGUAUAUAAUUCUCCAUUCAUAUGAACUCGUUUACAACCUUGUGUCAUAUCAUGUGAGUGUAUUUCACUGUAUUACAAAUGCCCAAUGUAACCUCCUGGGUUCAACAUCUUUUGGCUAUUUGUAUUGUAUUCAAAUAUAUAUAUAUGUUCAUUUGCCCACGUUCUUACAAAAUUGUAAUGGAAUUGCCUUUCUCCAUUUUGGCCAAUAAUUUUUCUUUUGUCGACGAACAAAAGAACGUGACUCAAUAUUAACACAGCUCAUUGAUGAAUUUAGUAGCUACUUGUAAAAACCAAAAUUACCAUUGGUUAUCAUCAAUCCGUGAUCCCAUAUUCUCAUGUGCAUGCGCACGCAUAAAAGCUUUUCAUUUCUUUGGAUAUCCAUUGCCUCUUCAAGGGCAUGACGCUAUCUCUUCCAGGAUAGUCAUAAUUUAGAGAAUGUGGAUCAUAACCUCCUCUUGAGCGUUAUAGAGCUUGGAUUUUAAUCUCCACUUCCGGGAGUUGAGUCAUUGGAACCUAUAUGUCUAUUAUGCUCCAUGUAUGAGACAUCAACAUUCCCAUGUCUGCGGAUUGUCCUAUCUGGGACGUGUAUCCAUGCGGUGACUGUCAUGCUUCUGGCAUGCAACAGUUAUGCUUCGGGAAUGCAAUAGUUCAGUAGUGCCAUAUUAUUCUUCUUUCGAAUAACUAAACCUUUUGAGUCUAAAAAUCUGCCACGCUUCAGGCGUGCAACAGAUAAAUCAUUUACUGUCUCAUUAUUUUAUCCAACAGAGACAUCAAUUCUUGUAGGCACAUUUGCAGUAAGUAUAUAUGAUUUCAUCACUUUCGUUGCAUCAUUCAAUUAUUCAUAUUUCAUUUUCUCAUUGAUUGCUUCGUGAAUCAAAAUAAGACAAAUUCUCUUCGUUCUUCUGGAACGGUCUUUUUUCAUCAUUAUUUUGGAAUGAUAUUUUCUCAUCGUUCUUCUGGAACGAUAUUAUUUUCUCCCCCUAAUGGUAGGAAAAUUGUCUUAUCAAAAUGACAGUCCGCAAACCAUGCGGUAAACAUAUCCCCAAUCAAGAAUUCCAAAUAUUGAAUGAUAGAUGGUGUUUAGCAUCAAUGCCUAAUCUGCAAUGAUGCCUCAUUUCAGUACGUUGUGGCAGUCUUACAGGCACAUAGACAACACAACAAAAAACUCGUAAAUGUAUAAUGUUUGGUUGGUUCCCAAACUCGAGUUGUAGAAGUAUUGAUGGUUGAUAACAUAUCUCAACCGAAUUAAUAAUGCAUCAUGUAAAGUUUACAUGUCCCCAUGUAGAAAACUGGCAAUUUCGUUUUCAUGAGCAGAGCGUUGGUAAUCAAUUUCACCCACUUAAUAAAUGCUUCUGCUAAACCAUUUUGAGUAUGGACAUGAGGAACUUCUGGUCCUUAUUAAAUAGUCUAUGGAUUGAGACUUUUAUGACCUUUAUUAUAAUUAAGUUAAGGCACUGUGGCACUUCAAACUUAAGGUACUUAUCAAGAAACUUCAUGUCCGAUCUUGAGGAUCUAGGGACUUCAUGUUUGAUCUUUUUGCAUGAUGGAACUUCGGGUCCAAUCAUUUUAUGUGAUGAGGAUCAAGAAACUGCAGGUUCUGAUCUAAUCAAGGAAUCUGGGUCCUUGUUAUACUCAUCGUAACAAAAGAUAAGUACAAUAAAUAAAUUAAAGCAAUAGGCUGGAAUUUCAGCCAUAGUAAAUAAAUUGAACAAUAAAUAAAUUAAGGCUUGUGACAAGGGCUUUAAUUCAGCACCAUUCACAUAAAUCAAAACUUAAAGCAGUAGGCGGUAAAACCGUCCAUGAUAAAUAAAUUGUUUUAAAGUAAAUAGAACUUGUGACAUGGGCUUUAAACCAACACCAUGCACAUAAAUAUCAAAGCUUUAAAGCAAAGGGUAAUAAUUCUACCCACUGUAAAUAAAUUGCUUUAAAUAAAUAGAACUUGUGAAAGUGUUUUAAGCCAACACCAUUCACAUAAAUAAAUAUAUAAAUAUUUUCUUCUUUCUUUUCAGACGGUGUAACACCAUCCAAAAACCUUUACCUUUAUUUUAUUUUAUUAUUUUCUUAUUCAAUCACAUGCUACAACAUUCCAACAACUUUUGUUUUUAUUUCUUUUAUUUUACAUGGUGCAACGCACCUUUCUAAAUCAUUGGCCCCAUUUCCCCUUUUCUUUGUCUAUCUCUACCAGUCUCGAAAUUCAGUACCAGCUGGGUUGUUGUGGGGGUUACACAAAACCAAUUCAAUCCAAAAAGGCUACCAGAGACUGGCGUUGUUCUUGCAUGGCCCAAAAAACAUGGCAUCGCAAAGCAAGAACCUCUCCAUAUAGACAUAGAUGACAGUGAGGUUGACGAAGGCACAAGAGAGGGAGGCCUGUGUGGAGUCAGUCAUGCCAUCACCAUCUCAGACAACUGAGGAUUCAUGGAGGUCCUCGAGAUCCAUUGAGAACGACACGAUCUGGGUUUCCAAGUCUAAUGAGAUUCUUCUGGAUCUCUGGAAACCAGUUGUCAGGUAUGAGUUUUCUUAUCUCGUGACGACUUCAGGUCGUUGGAAAUUUCAAUUCGCACCGAAAAUCGGUGAGGCGCUUCUGGCGCGGUGGGAGAAACGAAUGGACAUACCUUUGCUUGUUUUGCUGCACCUUUGUUUGUCUGUAAGAUCUCUCCAUCUUUCUUGUCCACGAGAGAAAAAAUAGAUUGCAGGUCUAGCAGGGAUAAGGAUUAGCACAUCAAUAGUUAGAGUGAUAAAAGAAAAGUGAUAAAAGAAAGGUUGAUGGAUUUUUGUGACAAGAUGAUCUUCCCUGUUUGACAUGUCUGGCUUGCCGUCUCUACUCUGUGAGAUUUUAGCUGACCGAGGUGAGAGGUAGAUAAUGCUUCACCGGAUUUAUGGUGUUGUGCUUUCCACUGACAUGAGAGCUUUUCGUGCUGAUAACGUGUUGUAAAAUCAACUGUGGGUGCAGUGGAAUAAAUGAAACAAGACACAAAAUUUACGAGGUUCCUCUACAGUCAGUGUGACUGGAGUACGUCCUCGGGGCAGCAGUGGUGCUUUCAUUAUAAUUUGAAAUAAUAGGAGUACAAAGAUAACUCUCUCUAUUAUCUCCUCUCAUCUUCCUCUAUUCUCUCUCUUCCUCUUCCUUCCUUCCUCUCUUUCUUUCCCGUGAACUCCCCUCACUUCAUUCCUCUUCUUCCUUUAUAUAAACAAAAGAAAGCACUAUUCACUUUACAAAUUUUCCACAAAUGAAUAGUGAAAAUACUGUGCAUAAAUAGUAACAAACUAUUCAUGUGGACCAUCCACACACUAUUUACAACAAGUUGAACAAAGUAUUACAAUUAUAAUCAGAUAAGUCGUUCCUCAUUGAUUUGAAAUUUUCGGGUAUGAAGGCGGAGGUGGGGAAAAAUACUUGUCGGAUUGUAAUGACAUGACAUCCCCGAUUCGACCCACUAUCAUCCCUACAUGCCCUUUUAUUUUAUUUUAUUUUAAAUAAAAAUUAGUUGUGAAACUUACUCUGCAUUGAACUUUAACAAUCUGAAUCGCUUAUUUUGAAGGUUUUGAUUUAUUGAUUAUUCUUGAAAAAAUUCAAUUCAAUAUGAAAUCAUUUGACUGUUUAAUUAUCACGAUAAAAUUUCAUGUUAUAGAAACAUCAUUAACAUUAAAUGAGAAGUAGUAAUGUUUCAAAGAAGACAUUGUUUUGUAUUAUCACCAUAUAUAUUGGCUAAAUUGUAUCUCCGAUGGAUUCCAGAUGCAGCAAUUAAUCAACAAAAAAAACUAUAUGCAAUUUUGACUAUUUUGAUCACCUAUAUAUUAUAUUUGAUAGUAAAAUGAACAGAGCUUACGCGCAAGCGCAAAACAUACGUCCAAAAACCAGAUCGUGGUUGCCACUUUCCACCGGACCAACUUCUUAGUCUUCCUUCUCUUAGUUGUAGAGAAGUCUUCAUUUAAUUUACGUAAAAUAAUACAAUUGUUGAAAGAAACAACAAAACAAAAUAAAAGCACCUCAUUAGCCCACCAUAUAUAGACUCGAUCAAAGGUCUUUUACGUGUGUGAAUUUUUAGGGUUCUUUCCUGUAUUAUUAUUAUUAUUUUUUUCCUGAUAUGAUUUCAAUUUAUCACCAAAUCAUCAACCACGUAAAGUUGAUAUAUAUAAAUGAGAAGGCGACAAAAGGGAAAUAGAUAGAGCAAUUACCUUUGCUUUUAAUACCUGUAGUUUCCUCCAACGAAGACAAACGAAAUCGUUGAUUCCAUAGAAGAACAUAUAAACCUAAUUAAUUAGGUGAGUCGACCAAGUUAAAAUAAAUGUUGAAUGUCCUUGCAUCAUCAAAGGUGGUGGCUGUGAGGGGUUUGGUGUUAGGACUUGG
rnacentral:lncRNA from 1 species